CUCUCUCUCGUAGCGCUAGGCAUAAUGAAAUCUACUGUACUACGUAUGUUCGGUAGGUAGCCAAUUGCGUCGAGGUGGGCGUACGUGCGUUCAAAAAGACUUCCCUUUCCCGUGCGUCUCUCUCACCCAGCCUCAGCGCAGUGCUCUCCAUGAUUAGCUCCUCUUGGAGGGCAGGAACGAACGUCAUCGCGAACUCAAUCGCCGCAGCCGCGGCUAUAUAGCCCCGGGGGUACUGCUGCACUCGCUGCUCGGAGUCGGCGAGGGAGCACGUCUACGUCGUGAUGGGGUGGAGAUCUGCGGCCGGCCGCUUGCUGGCGAUCCUACUCGCUCUGCACCUCCUCGUCGCCUCCUCCCACGCCGCCCGCUUCACGAGGAGCUACAGGAUGAUGGCAGUGGAGGCUCCGACGUUCCGUGGGGCUAGAGGUGAUUCAGGAGAGGGCAAUAGGAGGGAGAGCGACGCGAUCGUGGAGGAAAUGUUCGGGAGGAUGGCUCUGCAGACGACCGACUACCCGGGUUCAGGCCCAAACGAUCGUCACACUCCCAAGGCGCCCGGGACAUGAUCGUGCCAUGUCAAAGUUCAGACCCUCAGCUCGCCCAGACGCACGUCAUAUAUAUAGUAUAUGAUGUACAGAAGAUUUAUUAGCUCAUCGACAAAUUAGAACUUAGAACCCAUCAAAAUGGGGGAUUAUUCAAGUGUAAAUUCGUAUACGUGUGGAGGUUACUGUAAGAUUGUGUGCUAUGCCAUUUCUAUUAAGAGAAGUCCAAUGCUUUUAUCCA